rnacentral:lncRNA from 10 species
UCCUCCUCCUCUCUCUGUCGUCACCAGCAGGUCUGGGGGACCUGGUGCGGCGUGGCUGGCGCGGGCGCCCCUGCGGGCGUAGAGUGUUUGAGAAAGGCUGGCCAGGGAGUCAGUAGCAUUAACCCCCUUCUCUGCCUCACUCCGCCCUCUCCUCCCCUACAUGCGAAGGUGUGAGAGUGGAGGGAACCUUAUCUCAGAGCAGGAGAGAUACAGGUCUCCGAGCGUGUUGAGCCGCAGGGGGCGCGGGGGAGCCCGCGGGGCGCCGACGGCUUGGCAAAGUUGGGCGUGUGCGUGUGCGCGCCAGCCGUGAGCUAGCAGGCAGUCACCGUGGUUCCCCUCGCACUCCCCCUCCGGAGAAUUCCCCGAGAAGGCGGGCGCCGGCUUCGGCCCCGGGAUAGACCUGCGGCGGCGGCGGGAACGGCCACGCACAGGCACCCACAGCCACUUAGGAAGUUGGAGUCCUGGAGAGGAGAACACAGAACGUGGACAACUAGCUGUCAAAUUGCAGUAAAAGUUGGUUCAGGAAAAGUGGAAGCUACCCAGAUGUCUACCAAUUGAUUACUUCUGUUGUCUACAGUUUUC